UACAGAGGUCUCAAGCGUUGUUCGGAUUCAUUGGGCGUAAAGGGCGCGUAGGCGGCGGGGUAAGUCUGGUGUGAAAUCUCGGAGCUCAACUCCGAAAUUGCACUGGAUACUGCUCUGCUUGAGGGUUGGAGAGGAGAUCGGAAUUCACGGUGUAGCAGUGAAAUGCGUAGAUAUCGUGAGGAAGACCAGUGGCGAAGGCGGAUCUCUGGACAAAAUCCUGACGCUGAGGCGCGAAGGCUAGGGGAGCAAACGGG
rnacentral:rRNA from 1 species